GCGGGAGUAGCUCAGCUGGUUAGAGCACCUGGUUGUGGUCCAGGGGGUCGGGGGUUCGAGUCCCCUCUCUCGCCCCA
rnacentral:tRNA from 1 species